rnacentral:rRNA from 1 species
AUGAACGCUGGCGGCGUGCCUAAUACAUGCAAGUCGAGCGAACGGACGAGAAGCUUGCUUCUCUGAUGUUAGCGGCGGACGGGUGAGUAACACGUGGAUAACCUACCUAUAAGACUGGGAUAACUUCGGGAAACCGGAGCUAAUACCGGAUAAUAUUUUGAACCGCAUGGUUCAAAAGUGAAAGACGGUCUUGCUGUCACUUAUAGAUGGAUCCGCGCUGCAUUAGCUAGUUGGUAAGGUAACGGCUUACCAAGGCAACGAUGCAUAGCCGACCUGAGAGGGUGAUCGGCCACACUGGAACUGAGACACGGUCCCGACUCCUACGGGAGGCAGCAGUAGGGAAUCUUCCGCAAUGGGCGAAAGCCUGACGGAGCAACGCCGCGUGAGUGAUGAAGGUCUUCGGAUCGUAAAACUCUGUUAUUAGGGAAGAACAUAUGUGUAAGUAACUGUGCACAUCUUGACGGUACCUAAUCAGAAAGCCACGGCUAACUACGUG